rnacentral:tRNA from 2 species
GGCCUUGUGGCUCAAUGGCAGAGCGUCUGACUACGAAUCAGAAGGUCGCAGGUUCGACCCCUGUCUAGGUCA